rnacentral:rRNA from 1 species
UAAUACGGAGGGGGCUAGCGUUGCUCGGAAUUACUGGGCGUAAAGCGCACGUAGGCGGCUAAUCCAGUUAGGCGUGAAAGGCCUGGGCUUAACCUAGGAACUGCGCUUAAUACUGAUUGGCUAGAAUCCGAGAGAGGGUAGUGGAAUUCCCAGUGUAGAGGUGAAAUUCGUAGAUAUUGGGAAGAACACCAGUGGCGAAGGCGGCUACCUGGCUCGGUAUUGACGCUGAGGUGCGAAAGCGUGGGGAGCGAACAGGAUUAGAUACCCUGGUAGUCCACGCCGUAAACGAUGAGUGCUAGUUGUCGGGCAGCAUGCUGUUCGGUGACACAGCUAACGCGUUAAGCACUCCGCCUGGGGACUACGACCGCAAGGUUA